GAACGCUGGCGGCAUGCUUUACACAUGCGAGUCGGACGGCAGCACAGAGAAGCUUGCUUCUUGGGUGGCGAGUGGCGAACGGGUGAGUAACAUAUCGGAACGUACCGAGUAAUGGGGGAUAACUAAGCGAAAGAUUAGCUAAUACCGCAUAUUCUCUGAGGAGGAAAGCAGGGGACCUUCGGGCCUUGCGUUAUUCGAGCGGCCGAUAUCUGAUUAGCUAGUUGGUGGGGUAAAGGCCUACCAAGGCGACGAUCAGUAGCGGGUCUGAGAGGAUGAUCCGCCACACUGGGACUGAGACACGGCCCAGACUCCUACGGGAGGCAGCAGUGGGGAAUUUUGGACAAUGGGCGCAAGCCUGAUCCAGCCAUGCCGCGUGUCUGAAGAAGGCCUUCGGGUUGUAAAGGACUUUUGUCAGGGAAGAAAAGGCUGUCGCUAAUACCGACAGUUGAUGACGGUACCUGAAGAAUAAGCACCGGCUAACUACGUGCCAGCAGCCGCGGUAAUACGUAGGGUGCAAGCGUUAAUCGGAAUUACUGGGCGUAAAGCGAGCGCAGACCGUUACUUAAGCAGGAUGUGAAAUCCCCGGGCUCAACCUGGGAACUGCGUUCUGAACUGGGUGACUAGAGUGUGUCAGAGGGAGGUAGAAUUCCACGUGUAGCAGUGAAAUGCGUAGAGAUGUGGAGGAAUACCGAUGGCGAAGGCAGCCUCCUGGGAUAACACUGACGUUCAUGCUCGAAAGCGUGGGUAGCAAACAGGAUUAG
rnacentral:rRNA from 1 species